CUUGACUAUGAUGACCCACUUGCCCUAUCUGAGAGCAGAUCUGUUAUGAGACAAUCUUAAAUCCUCAUUUUCCUGAGUCAGG
ensembl:snoRNA Small nucleolar RNA SNORD103/SNORD85